rnacentral:rRNA from 1 species
UGGGGAAUUUUGGACAAUGGGGGCAACCCUGAUCCAGCCAUGCCGCGUGUGUGAAGAAGGCCUUCGGGUUGUAAAGCACUUUCGGACGGAACGAAAUCGCGCGAUCUAAUAAGUCGCGUGGAUGACGGUACCGUAAGAAGAAGCACCGGCUAACUACGUGCCAGCAGCCGCGGUAAUACGUAGGGUGCGAGCGUUAAUCGGAAUUACUGGGCGUAAAGUGUGCGCAGGCGGCAGAGCAAGUCGAGUGUGAAAGCCCCGGGCUUAACUUGGGAAUUGCGCUCGAAACUACUUUGCUGGAGUGUGGCAGAGGAAGGUGGAAUUCCACGUGUAGCGGUGAAAUGCGUAGAGAUGUGGAGGAACACCAAUGGCGAAGGCAGCCUUCUGGGCCAACACUGACGCUCAUGCACGAAAGCGUGGGGAGCAAACAGGAUUAGAUACCCUGGUAGUCCACGCCCUAAACGAUGACGACUAGUUGUUGGGGGAGUUAAAUCCUUUAGUAACGCAGCUAACGCGCGAAGUCGUCCGCCUGGGGAGUACGGUCGCAAGAUUAA